UUUACAAUCAAGAUGUACACUUACAUCGUCCUUAGAAACAUGACAUAUUGUGCCGAUUUUGGUCCCUUCCUUUGAAGGUGACUCUUGGCACUGCAUCCUCAAGGAGGAUCGCCAACGUGUUUCCGGUUAAGUCUUCUACCCUAUAGCGGAUUUUUCAUCAUCAAUUGUUCAACUAGGCUCAUCCAAGCUCAGUGUGAUGUCUUAGAAUUGUCGGAAAUUAAGGAGAUAGUGGUUUUAAGUGUGCCUCGCACUACCGACCCUCCACGGACAUGCCUGGUCAUACUGACUUGGAGUUACCGAAAGCUUUUGAUUUUGGAUCCCCCUACGCUAUUAAACCAAUUGCCGUCUUGUAAAAGACGUUGAAGACUUAUCAAAGCUGGAAAAUUAUCAUCAUGAUCGGAUCCUCUAAGUCCUCUGAGUUAGUUUAUGUUCAUGUCAGGGAGCUUUUGCUAACUAGUCAUGGAGUUUACGACCUUAGAACGACCGAAAGGACUUGGUUUUGAUCAUACACACGUCACUUUUGGCUAAGGCAAAAGCCUACACGCCACCUGCAAGCUUCACAGCUUCGCACAUGCCAAAUCUGCGAAAAACAGCAAUCUGUCCUUUCUGGACAGUCAACUUCGUUUGAGCUUUGUGAACAGCUCCGGACGAACCAGACAGUGAGCUUUAUAUCAUUGGAAAGCUCUAUGAGUCUAGCUUUCAGAACUUUUCACGGUUCGUCCAUAUCUAUUUUAACGAAGAAGUUAUGGCUGUUUUAAUGCGCAAAGGUUAUUCUGCGCGGAAAUUUUUAUGCACUCUCGGGAUUGCAGCUUUUCGUAGCUUCUUUCAAUCCUUCUAAAUGGUUCAAGUAGAACUAUUUACUCGCCUAUCUACUCCUUGUAGUUAUGUCUCAUAGAGACAUUGAGUGCUUCGCAGAUAGUGGAACUAUCCACAACAUUCUAAGGACCAUGUUGAGCUUUAAAGACAUUCAUGCUAAUGGUUUUCAUUUGAAAACUCAUUGUGAGA
rnacentral:lncRNA from 1 species